rnacentral:rRNA from 1 species
AUUGAACGCUGGCGGCAGGCUUAACACAUGCAAGUCGAGCGGGGGAAGGUAGCUUGCUACCGGACCUAGCGGCGGACGGGUGAGUAAUGCUUAGGAAUCUGCCUAUUAGUGGGGGACAACAUCUCGAAAGGGAUGCUAAUACCGCAUACGUCCUACGGGAGAAAGCAGGGGAUCUUCGGACCUUGCGCUAAUAGAUGAGCCUAAGUCGGAUUAGCUAGUUGGUGGGGUAAAGGCCUACCAAGGCGACGAUCUGUAGGGGGUCUGAGAGGAUGAUCCGCCACACUGGGACUGAGACACGGCCCAGACUCCUACAGGAGGCAGCAGUGGGGAAUAUUGGACAAUGGGGGGAACCCUGAUCCAGCAAUGCCGCGUGUGUGAAGAAGGCCUUAUGGUUGUAAAGCACUUUAAGCGAGGAGGAGGCUACUCUAGUUAAUACCUAGGGAUAGUGGACGUUACUCGCAGAAUAAGCACCGGCUAACUCUGUGCCAGCCGCCGCAGUAA